GCUACCUCAGCCUGAGAACCUGAACUUGGCCUUACUGAGAAAUGGUGCUUGCUCAGACCUGCUGGGAAUUCAAGGGUCACAACAGUAGCCAGGGGACUUUCCAGCAAAUGGUUGUUCCAGAAAAAUCUCAGCAGCACCUGGCCUCUCACGAACACCAGCGCCACAAAAGGAGCCAGCACAUCUCCGACUUCCUGUGCAAGAUGCUGUGUGGAAAGACAGCGGUUUUUUCGUUAAGAUGCCAACUUGGGGCUGGCGAGAUGUCUCUGCAGGGAAAGGCGCUUGCCAGGAAGCCUAACGACCCAAGGUCGUGAGCUGGUGGGAGAGACCCAACUCCGCAAGUCAGCCUCUGACCUCCACAUUCAGAAACUCCCCGAGGCCAGGCUUUGGGUCCCUUUGAGAUCACGGGUCACACAAGGGUGGCACACAGCAGGUGCUCCUUCAUGAGAGAUGACUGGAUGAGCUGGUGACCAGAUCAAUUCCUGGG
ensembl:antisense Gm16191 predicted gene 16191